rnacentral:pre_miRNA from 1 species
GGCCCAAUUUUGAAGUAGAGUAGAUUAGUAGAUCUGCUGACAAUAUUGAUCUACUCUAUUUCAAGUUUGUGCCC